AGAAUCAACGCUGGCGGCGUGCCUAACACAUGCAAGUCGCACGAGAAAGGGGAGCAAUCCCUGAGUAAAGUGGCGCACGGGUGAGUAACACGUGACUAACCUACCCUUGAGUGGGGGAUAACCUAGGGAAACCUGGGCUAAUACCGCAUAAUACCUUCGGGUCAAAGGAGCAAUUCGCUUUAGGAGGGGGUCGCGGCCGAUUAGUUAGUUGGCGGGGUAAUGGCCCACCAAGACGAUGAUCGGUAUCC
rnacentral:rRNA from 1 species